rnacentral:rRNA from 1 species
CGAACGCUGGCGGCGUGGAUAGGGCAUGCAAGUCGAACGCGAAAGAGGGGGCAACUCCUCGAGUAGAGUGGCGAACGGGUGAGUAACGCGUGAAGAACCUGCCUUCAACAGGGGGAUAACACUCCCAACGGGGUGCUAAUACCGCAUAAGACCACGGAUUCGCAUGGAUCCGAGGUAAAAGGUGGCCUCUGCUUGCAAGCUACCGGUUGAAGAUGGCUUCGCGUCCCAUUAGCUAGUUGGCGGUGUAAAAGACCACCAAGGCGACGAUGGGUAGCUGGUCUGAGAGGAUGGUCAGCCACACUGGGACUGAGAUACGGCCCAGACUCCUACGGGAGGCAGCAGUCGAGAGGCUUCGGCAAUGGGGGAAACCCUGACCGAGCGACGCCGCGUGGAGGAUGAAGGCCUUUGGGUUGUAAACUCCUUUUGUUGGGGAAGAAAUGCGAUCAGGUGAAUAAUCUGGUCGUUUGACGGUACCCGACGAAUAAGCUCCGGCUAACUCCGUGCCAGCAGCCGCGGUAACACGGGGGGAGCAAGCGUUGUUCGGAAUCACUGGGCGUAAAGGGCGUGUAGGCGGUCAGGUAAGUGGGACGUGAAAUGCCUCGGCUCACCCGAGGACCUGCGUCCCAAACUGCUUGGCUUGAGUAUGGGAGAGGAUGUGGGAAUUCCUGGUGUAGCGGUGAAAUGCGUAGAUAUCAGGAGGAACACCGGUGGCGAAGGCGCACAUCUGGCCCAAUACUGACGCUGAUGCGCGAAAGCUAGGGGAGCAAACGGGAUUAGAUACCCCGGUAGUCCUAGCCGUAAACGGUGAUCACUAGGUGUUGGAGGCAUCGACCCCUCCAGUGCCGCAGCUAACGCAUUAAGUGAUCCGCCUGGGGAGUACGGCCGCA